rnacentral:rRNA from 1 species
UACGUAGGGGCCGAGCGUUGUCCGGAGUUAUUGGGCGUAAAGCGCGCGCAGGCGGCCUCGCGCGCCCGACGUGAAAGCCCCCGGCUUAACCGGGGAGGGUCGUUGGGGACGGCGGGGCUUGAGGGCGGGAGAGGGCGGUGGAAUUCCCGGUGUAGUGGUGAAAUGCGUAGAGAUCGGGAGGAACACCUGUGGCGAAGGCGGCCGUCUGGGCCGACCCUGACGCGUGAGCGCGAAGGCGUGGGAGCGACGGG